rnacentral:rRNA from 1 species
UACAGAGGUCUCAAGCGUUGUUCGGAUUCAUUGGGCGUAAAGGGUGCGUAGGUGGCGCGCUAAGUCAGGUGUGAAAUUUCGGAGCUUAACUCCGAAACUGCAUUCGAUACUGCCGUGCUUGAGGACUGGAGAGGAGACUGGAAUUUACGGUGUAGCGGUGAAAUGCGUAGAUAUCGUAAGGAAGACCAGUGGCGAAGGCGGGUCUCUGGACAGUUCCUGACGCUGAGGCACGAAGGUCAGGGGAGCAAACGGGG